AGUACAGGAGCUGCUGGGAGCACAGGGCUGUCCUCAGAUUUGUAUAGCCUCCUUUCCACAGGAUGGGUAGGAACAGGAGUGACCAUGUCCUUUUAGCAAGAAAUCCUUUGCAGCUGAAAGGAAAAGGCAAUGUAUCCUCCUGUGCUGUGACCUAAGUGGGAAGCAGGAUCCUGUCAUGGUGGAGAAUCUGGAGAAGUGUUUGCCCAGCAUCAGCUGGAAGCUGAGAGAGACUCCAUGUGCCUAAAAUGUCUUGAGGAAGGAUGUGAGAUGUAAAUUCCCAAGUGUGGUUACUAGAGGAAAAGGAAGCAAAUGUAAUGUGGUUGAAUUUAACUUGGUCACAACGGCCGAAGACUUCAUCUCUUACUAUGUUGGAGUGAAAGCCAGAGGUGGUGGAGGUAAUUUCAGUGGCAUGUGGUACUUUGCCAUUUGCAGGUGGAAGUGUUUGUGUGGAAAGAGGAUCAUCUCAGACCUUAGUGACACAAAUAUAAAUAAUAUCAUUCCUGCUCAAGUAUAGUAGUAUGCAAAAGAACACCCUAUGUGACUGUUACUUAAGCAACAAACAACAAAAAUGUAGAAAGAGCUUUUGCUUUUGCCAUAAAUUGUGUGCUAAAGGCAGUUUGUGUUACCAGGUUAGAAGUGCUCUGAUUGUAUGGUGCUGCCUGAUGUGUCAGCUGGUGCUUGAUGUGUUCUUGACAUCAACAGCUAAAUGGGACCAAGAACUCCUAAGUAUAGCUUAA